CCUAACACAUGCAAGUCGAACGGUAACAGGAAGCAGCUUGCUGCUUCGCUGACGAGUGGCGGACGGGUGAGUAAUGUCUGGGAAGCUGCCUGAUGGAGGGGGAUAACUACUGGAAACGGUAGCUAAUACCGCAUAAUGUCGCAAGACCAAAGAGGGGGACCUUCGGGCCUCUUGCCAUCGGAUGUGCCCAGAUGGGAUUAGCUUGUUGGUGGGGUAACGGCUCACCAAGGCGACGAUCCCUACCUGGUCUGAGAGGAUGACCAGCCACACUGGAACUGAGACCCGGUUCAGACUCCUACGGGAGGCAGCAGUGGGGAAUAUUGCUCACUG
rnacentral:rRNA from 1 species